rnacentral:rRNA from 1 species
AACGAACGCUGGCGGCAUGCCUAACACAUGCAAGUCGAACGAGACCUUCGGGUCUAGUGGCGCACGGGUGCGUAACACGUGGGAAUUUGCCUCGGGGUAUGGAAUAACUCAGGGAAACUUGAGCUAAUACCAUAUAAUGUCUUCGGACCAAAGAUUUAUCGCCCUGAGAUAAGCCCGCGUAGGAUUAGCUAGUUGGUGGGGUAAAGGCUCACCAAGGCGACGAUCCUUAGCUGGUCUGAGAGGAUGAUCAGCCACACUGGGACUGAGACACGGCCCAGACUCCUACGGGAGGCAGCAGUGGGGAAUAAUUGGGACAAAUGGGCGAAAGCCUGAUCCAGCAAUGCCGCGUGAGUGAUGAAGGCC